AUAUUUAAUUUUAAACAUUAAUACAAAUUUUAAAUCUGUUCUUAUCAUUUGAAUAUCUGAUAAUGUCCUUUAUUUGAGGACUGUAUAUUAAAUUGAUUUUUGAAAUAGGGGGAUGGAAUAGGAGCUUGCUCUGUCCACCCCAUGCAUCGACCUGGUAUUGCAGUGCCUCCAGGAACAGUGCAAAGAAA
ensembl:snRNA U2 U2 spliceosomal RNA